CGACAAUGAUCCUGUAGCGCUCCGGGUCCUGGGCGAUGAGCUUCAGCAUCACCGCCAGCAGGCUGUUAUAACUGCACAAGAGGGAGGUUUUCAGAAAUUGUCAGCAUGUCAAGCUAAUCUGCCAAGUGCCAAGAUCGACAGCAAUUUUCCAUCCUCUGAUUGAGUUCCGAGUCCUGGACUGGGUCCGGGCGACCUUCCUUCACCGCCAGCUUCCUCUCUUUGUCCAUGUAGGCCCCUCGCACCAGCUUCACACCCAGACAGAAGCCUCCUUCUUGGGACUGGCUGAUCGCCUCCUGCAGUAGC